rnacentral:rRNA from 1 species
GACGAACGCUGGCGGCGUGCUUAACACAUGCAAGUCGAACGAUGAAGCCGGAGCUUGCUCUGGUGAAUUAGUGGCGAACGGGUGAGUAACACGUGAGUAACCUGCCCUUGACUCUGGGAUAACUGCGGGAAACUGUAGCUAAUACCGGAUACGACCCUCGGAGGCAUCUCCUGGGGGUGGAAAGAAUUUCGGUCAAGGAUGGACUCGCGGCCUAUCAGCUAGUUGGUGAGGUAAAGGCUCACCAAGGCGACGACGGGUAGCCGGCCUGAGAGGGUGAACGGACACACUGGGACUGAGACACGGCCCAGACUCCUACGGGAGGCAGCAGUGGGGAAUCUUGCACAAUGGGCGCGAGCCUGAUGCAGCAACGCCGCGUGAGGGAUGACGGCCUUCGGGUUGUAAACCUCUUUUAGUAGGGAAGAAGCGAAAGUGACGGUACCUGCAGAAAAAGCACCGGCUAACUACGUGCCAGCAGCCGCGGUAA